AUUGAACGCUGGCGGCAGGCCUAACACAUGCAAGUCGAACGGUAACAGGAAGAAGCUUGCUUCUUUGCUGACGAGUGGCGGACGGGUGAGUAAUGUCUGGGAAACUGCCUGAUGGAGGGGGAUAACUACUGGAAACGGUAGCUAAUACCGCAUAACGUCGCAAGACCAAAGAGGGGGACCUUCGGGCCUCUUGCCAUCGGAUGUGCCCAGAUGGGAUUAGCUAGUAGGUGGGGUAACGGCUCACCUAGGCGACGAUCCCUAGCUGGUCUGAGAGGAUGACCAGCCACACUGGAACUGAGACACGGUCCAGACUACUACGGGAGGCAGCAGUGGGGAAUAUUGCACAAUGGGCGCAAGCCUGAUGGAGCAAUGCCGCGUGUAUGAAGAAGGCCUUCGGGUUGUAAAGUACUUUCAGCGGGGAGGAAGGGAGUAAAGUUAAUACCUUUGCUCAUUGACGUUACCCGCAGAAGAAGCACCGGCUAACUCCGUG
rnacentral:rRNA from 1 species